GUCAAAGUUGUGGUAAAAAGGCAACUUGGACACCUUGCCGUCUCAAAAUCUCCAACGUUCCGUGAACACACGNUAAUUCUUUGGUAGUCGGAUUUUUGUGGACAUUCGACAAGGAUAAAAACAAAUCUUGUCUACCAGAGGCCCUUUAUCUAAAGGAAAUAUUACGAGAAACCAAAUGAUAUUUUGAAUCAGAUUCUUUAUGAAUUAAACUAUAAAUCAUAAAACUUUCAACAACGGAUCUCUUGGUUCUCGCAUCGAUGAAGAACGCAGCGAAAUGCGAUACGUAGUGUGAAUUGCAGAAUUCCGUGAAUCAUCGAAUCUUUGAACGCACAUUGCGCUGGCGGGUAUUCCCGUCAGCAUGCCUGUUUGAGCGUCAUAAAUACUUUCUCCCCUUGAGACUUGAUUUAUCGAGAAUCAAGUGUGUGAGAAGAGUUGGGCACAGUACAAGACGAUAUCUUGUGUAUUGUCGAGGACAGUGUCUGAAAAUGAUGGCGACUGGAAUUUGUCAGUUGAUGCAUUAAGAUAUUUUAUCAUAUAUCAUUGGCGAUGAAAUCCGACUAUAGUCGGCGUUAUUCAGAUUAUAUCUGAAUAGUGUGUGUAAUCCACUUUUUCUUUUUAUGACUGACCUCAAAUCAGGUAGGAGUACGCGCUGAACUUAAGCAUAUCAAUAAGCGCAGGAAAAGAAACUAAGAAGGAUUCCCUCAGUAACGGCGAGUGAAGCGGGAAAAGCUCAAAUUUGAAAUCUGGUAGCAUCGCUGCCCGAGUUGUAAUUUGGAGAAGUGUUUUAUGCCUGCGUCUUUGAGCGUCAAGUUUCCUUGGAACAGGAGCGCCUUAGAGGGUGAGAGCCCCGUUGAGGCUUUAAAGACAUGGGAAGUUUGGCACUUUCUAAGAGUCGAGUUGUUUGGGAUUGCAGCUCUAAAUGGGUGGUAAAUUCCAUCUAAAGCUAAAUAUUGGCGAGAGACCGAUAGCGAACAAGUAGAGUGAUCGAAAGAUGAAAAGAACUUUGAAAAGAGAGUUAAACAGGACGUGAAAUUGUUGAAAGGGAAGCGUUCGAAAGCCUACAUGUCUCUCUCGGGAGGCAGGCCAGGAUCGGUUUGCUGUGAUGGAAAAAGAUUAAAGGAAGGUGACCAAGGUUCUUCGGAGACAGUGGUGUUAUAGCCUACU
rnacentral:rRNA from 1 species